ACAUGGGAAGAAGCAUAGAUCAAAUGAUGGAACCAGGUCGUUUGAUCUGCAAAUACAACACUCAGUGAAGGAAACUAAAAGAAGAGGAAGCAAAGAGAAGCCAGGGGGAGGACAUUCACAGAGCACAGGAGGAGUCUUUAAAAUCCCAGAGGAAACCACCUGCCUGUGUGUUUAUCCCAGUAAGCAGCUGCUCCGCGAAACCCUCCCACCUGACCAAGCUUCAUGUAAGCUUACUAUCUCUCUCACUCACACACACACACACACACACACACACACACACACACACACACAGUCGCAGUGAUGUCCUGUUUUGAUGCUGUGCCUGGAUGGAAAACAGUGAAGUAGUCUAAACGGACCAGACGUGUUUGUUUUACUAUCUUGGAGAGGGACGGAAAAAUCAGCUGAGGAACAAAGAGCUUUGAAAGUGCAGUCCCUUGUUGACGUGUGCGCACA